AGAUGUUUUGGGACUGCAAUUCCCAUCAUCCCUGACCACUGGUCCUGUUAGCUAGGGGUGAUGGGACUUGUAGUCCCAAAACAUAU